UACGAAGGGGGCUAGCGUUGUUCGGAUUUACUGGGCGUAAAGCGCACGUAGGCGGAUUGUUAAGUCAGGGGUGAAAUCCUGGAGCUCAACUCCAGAACUGCCUUUGAUACUGGCAAUCUCGAGUCCGGAAGAGGUGAGUGGAACUGCGAGUGUAGAGGUGAAAUUCGUAGAUAUUCGCAAGAACACCAGUGGCGAAGGCGGCUCACUGGCCCGAUACUGACGCUGAGGCACGAAAGCGUGGGGAGCAAACAGG
rnacentral:rRNA from 1 species